GCCGGCUAGUGCCUAACCCUCCUCACUGUGCUGAGACCGAGCCCCGGAAUGAUCUACCGAGACCACCAGGCCAAAGAACGCCACUCCCAAGAGAGAAGAGACAAAGGACAAGAUCCUGCCCCUGGGAGGAGACAAGAGGCGCAAGAUCAGGGACAGGAAAGCGGCGGGGAGCAACGAACCUCUUCUGCGGGGCUCAUGGACCACCGGUGUCAGGAUCACCUGGAGCACAUGAUAAGAACUCAGCUUCCGGACUUCACCUCAGAUGCCCCCAGACCUGCUGAAUCACAGCCUGGAAGCAGGGCCCGAGAGUAGAGCCUCUGCAAAGCCCCUGAGGCUCAGGCACAGCUUGGGGAGCCACGGCCCUUGUAGGAGCAGGGACCAUACUCCAAACCACAAACCUUCUCUCCAGAUGACCAGGUGUCCUCAGACACACACAAGCUCUGUGACCUGUUGCUAGAGGAACCCCUGUGCUGGCCGAGCUGGGCCUGAACUGUGAACCAGGCUCUGCCAAUCACUCAUUAUGGGAACCCUAGCAAGUCACCUUGCACAUGUGCCUCCAUUUCUGCAGCCACAAAGUGGGGCUUGAUACUUGUUAUCUCGUCUCAUGAUUAUGAUAUAAGGUUCAAAGGAGAAAAGAAAAAUGGA
rnacentral:lncRNA from 10 species